UUACCACUUUGUGGUUCAUGACUGGGGUGAAGUCGUAACAAGGUAGCGCUAGGGGAACCUGGCGCUGGAUCACCUCCUUAAACGAUGAU
rnacentral:rRNA from 3 species